rnacentral:rRNA from 1 species
CAGGGAUUGCCUUAGUAGCGGCGAGUGAAGCGGCAAAAGCUCAAAUUUGAAAUCUGGCACCUUCGGUGUCCGAGUUGUAAUUUGAAGAUUGUAACCUUGGGGUUGGCUCUUGUCUAUGUUUCUUGGAACAGGACGUCACAGAGGGUGAGAAUCCCGUGCGAUGAGAUGCCCAAUCCUAUGUAAGGUGCUUUCGAAGAGUCGAGUUGUUUGGGAAUGCAGCUCUAAGUGGGUGGUAAAUUCCAUCUAAAGCUAAAUAUUGGCGAGAGACCGAUAGCGAACAAGUACAGUGAUGGAAAGAUGAAAAGAACUUUGAAAAGAGAGUGAAAAAGUACGUGAAAUUGUUGAAAGGGAAGGGUUUGAGAUCAGACUCGAUAUUUUGUGAGCCUUGCCUUCG